CUUAUGAUAAAGAAGAACCUCUAUACAGAAGAACCUGUAUACAGAAGAACCUCUAUACAGAAGAACCUCUAUACAGAAGCCUUGUCUUUUGGUCAAAUAAAAAAAAGGUUCAUGUCUAUUUACAACACAAAGUACAAAUAGUAAUUGAUGUGAUUUGUACAUAAAUAAAACAUUAUGAUACUAGAACUAUAAUUUCUAUUUGCUUUAGUUGAAUAUCUUCUUUUAUUCGAUUCGAUUUUUUGAAUUGUUUAUUUGACAAUAGUCGAUGCUAGUCACAAUAGAAAUUUCAACGAACUUAGUCAAUGAGCUAUAAUGAGUUAUAAAGAUAUAUCUAUAGAUAAAAAAGACACAAAUAAAAACAUUUUAUGUAAUUUUAUGUACAGUAGUGGGGAAUUAUGGGACAAAAAAUCCGCUUGGUUUCAGACUUGGUACAACUCAAAGUCAUCAUU
rnacentral:lncRNA from 1 species